rnacentral:tRNA from 1 species
GGGGCCGUGGCUCAGAGGUAGAGCGCUCGCCUAGCAUGCGUGAGGCACUGUGUUCCAUCCUCAGCACCACCU